AUGCGAGUUGAUGGAAUACCUAAAUUUUCCAUGGCAAACUGCUCAGUAACACAUGAUCAACUUACCCUAUAGAGAAAAAUAACCUCGGGAAACUGAGGAUAAUGUUUCAUAGUUGAAAAGGCUCGGAAAAGUUUUUCAAUAAAAAGGAUAAGAAAAAUGGUUCUUAUCCGCUAUAGGAUAGGAUCGUGCUCGAUUAUGGUUGUUGGUGAGGUAAUGGCUCACCAAGCCGAUAAUCGAUAGGGGCCGUGAGAGCGGGAGCCCCGAGAUGGGUACUGAGACAACGACCCAGGCCUUACGAGGCGCAGCAGGCGCGAAACCUCAGCAAUACACGAAAGUGUGACUGGGUUACCCAAAGUGUUCAGUUUUGAACUGUGGUAGGUGAGUAAUGUCCCCUAUUAGAAAGGAGAGGGCAAGGCUGGUGCCAGCCGCCGCGGUAAAACCAGCUCUUCAAGUGGUCGGGAUAAUUAUUGGGCUUAAAGUGUCCGUAGCCUGUUUAGUAAGUUCCUGGUAAAAUCGGGUAGCUUAACUAUCUGUAUGCUAGGAAUGCUGCUAAACUAGAGGGCGGGAGAGGUCUGAGGUACUACAGGGGUAGGGGUGAAAUCUUAUAAUCCUUGUAGGACCACCAGUGGCGAAGGCGUCAGACUGGAACGUGCCUGACGGUGAGGGACGAAAGCCAGGGGAGCGAACCGGAUUAGAUACCCGGGUAGUCCUGGCCGUAAACGAUGCAUACUAGGUGAUGGCAUGGCCAUGAGCCGUGUCAGUGCCGUAGGGAAACCGUUAAGUAUGCCGCCUGGGAAGUACGGUCGCAAGGCUAAAACUUAAAGGAAUUGGCGGGGGAGCACCACAAGGGGUGAAGCCUGCGGUUCAAUUGGAUUCAACGCCGGAA
rnacentral:rRNA from 1 species